GCCCUGGUGGCUCAGAUGGUAAAGCAUCUGCCUACAAUGCAGGAGACUCAGGUUUGAUCCCUGGGUUGGGAA
rnacentral:tRNA from 1 species